GAAAAGGUGUUGAGAAAGAGGAGUACACAGCACACCCUUGAAAGAGAGAAUGGUUCAUCGGCUGAAAGACCGUUUAAAGAAGGCGUUGUGGAAGGUAGCUUUUGAACCGGAGAACUGAAAGUGUAGGAAAAAUGGAUUUGCAGGAGGUGCAAAUAUUAGAGAUACGAUAAGUAGGUUUUCACGUCUGGUCUGCGUUAUAAGACCGAGAGAUUGCCAAUCAUGAUAAGAAGAGAUUGGCGAAAUAAGGUGGUACCGCGUAACAAUACGCCCUUUGC
rnacentral:ncRNA from 1 species